GACGAACGCUGGCGGCGUGCUUAACACAUGCAAGUCGAACGGAAAGGCCCGCUUCUGGGGUACUCGGGCGGCGAAAGGGGUAGGAACCCGUGCGUAGCCUACCCUUGACUUUGGGAUAACUCCAGGAAAACGCGGCUAAUACCGGAUCGGAGCUCCUGCUGCGUGGUGGGGGUUGGUAGGUUUGGGCGGUUGGGGAGGUACGGCCGGCUUAUAAGCUGGUUGUUGGGGUAGUGGCUCACCAAGGGUUUGACGGGCAGCCGGCCGGCGAGGGUGACCGGCCGCAUUGGGAGGGAGGUACGGCCGAGACUCCUACGGGAGGAAGCAGUGGGGAAUAUUGCACAAUGGGCGGAGGCCGGAUGCAGCAACGCCGCGUGGGGGAUGACGGCCUUCGGGUUGUAGACCGCUUUCGCCUGCGACGAAGAGUGAGUGACGGUAACGGGUAAAGAAGCACCGGCUAACUACGUG
rnacentral:rRNA from 1 species